rnacentral:rRNA from 1 species
AGGGUUUGAUCCUGGCUCAGAACGAACGUUGGCGGCGUGGAUUAGGCAUGCAAGUCGAACGAAUCCCGGUAGCAAUAUCGGGGGAAGUGGCGAAAGGGGCAGUAAGGCAUGGGUAACUUGCCCCGGGGAUCGGGAUAGCCUUCCCAACGGAAGGGUAAUACCGAGCGUCGUGUCGAGGAGGCAUCUUCUUGAUACGAAAGAGAAUCGCCCCGGGAGAGGCUCAUGUAGUAUUAGCUAGUUGGUGAGGUAACGGCUCACCAAGGCCAAGAUGCUUAGCGGGUGUGAGAGCACGACCCGCGCCACUGGCACUGUGACACUGGCCAGACUCCUACGGGAGGCUGCAGUCGAGGAUCUUCGGCAAUGGGCGCAAGCCUGACCGAGCGACGCCGCGUGUGCGAUGAAGGCCUUCGGGUUGUAAAGCACUGUCGAGGGGGAGAAAGUCUCGCAAGGGAUUGAUCGACCCCUGGAGGAAGCACGGGCUAAGUUCGUGCCAGCAGCCGCGGUAAGACGAACCGUGCGAACGUUGUUCGGAAUCACUGGGCUUAAAGGGCGCGUAGGCGGGUCAUCAAGUCAGGGGUGAAAUCCCACGGCUCAACCGUGGAAGUGCCUUUGAUACUGGUGGUCUCGAGGGAGGUAGGGGCGUGUGGAACUUCCGGUGGAGCGGUGAAAUGCGUAGAUAUCGGAAGGAACGCCGGUGGCGAAAGCGACGCGCUGGACCUCUUCUGACGCUGAGGCGCGAAAGCUAGGGGAGCAAACGGGAUUAGAUACCCCGGUAGUCCUAGCCCUAAACGAUGGGUACUAGGUAGUGGACUUACAUGGGUUCACUGCCGAAGCAAAAGUGUUAAGUACCCCGCCUGGGGAGUAUGGUCGCAAGGCUGAAACUCAAAGGAAUUGACGGGGGCUCACACAAGCGGUGGAGCAUGUGGCUUAAUUCGAGCUACGCGAAGAACCUUAUCCUGGGCUUGACAUGUGCGAAAGCGGAUGGGAGUAGCUUGCGGAAACGUGGAGCGAACGGUAUCCAGUCCGGAACCAUCUACAGGUGCUGCAUGGCUGUCGUCAGCUCGUGUCGUGAGAUGUUGGGUUAAGUCCCCUAACGAGCGAAACCCUUGUCUCCAGUUGCCAGCGGGUAAAGCCGGGGACUCUGGAGAGACUGCCGGUGUUAAACCGGAGGAAGGUGGGGAUGACGUCAAGUCCUCAUGGCCUUUAUGCCCAGGGCUGCACACGUGCUACAAUGGCACGCACAGAGGGAAGCAAACCUGCGAAGGGGAGCUAAUCUCAAAAAACGUGCCCCAGUUCAGAUCGAAGGCUGCAACUCGCCUUCGUGAAGUUGGAAUCGCUAGUAAUCGCGGGUCAGCAACACCGCGGUGAAUGUGUUCCUGAGCCUUGUACACACCGCCCGUCAAGCCACGAAAGAUCGGGGGGGGCCAAGUGGCCGUGGUAACUCGCAAGAGAGCUAAGCCCCUAACCCUCAACGGUCAAUUGGGACUAAGUCGUAACAAGGU